ensembl:snoRNA
AUCCAAGCUGAUUCGCUCUCCAGGGGGCCUGCUCAUGCCUCUCUUCAGGAAAGCAGCAACUUGGAAGAAAAUCUGGCAUGCCUGAGGUUGCUGGGGGAGAGGGCAUGUCUGUUUCCUUUGACUUCCUUUGGCUGCCUACACUC